GAUUCAGUUAAAAACUGAAUUAACUGAAAUCAAUUCAACAACAACUGCCCCGGUGCUUCCCCGUAGAUAGCACCGCUGUUGUUUCAGGAACACAGUCAUCCCUCAGAAAUGGAUUGGGUGACAAGUGGUCUGCAUGCUGCACACGGGCACUGGGUGAGUGUGCUUGGAGCUGUUUGUCAGGACAUCAUCAGCAAUAGACAGAACACGAGGGAAGUAAUCAGUGAAAGAAGACGAAGUUGUUAAGUUGUUUCUGACUUUAUCUUUGGAGCGGGCUCACAGAACAUUUGAGUGGGCUUUUUGGUAUAAGAGAAAGAGCCCUACACUUUUGCCCAAUUCUAGUUCUAGGCUCCAAAACAAAUUUUACUAGGGUUCUGAACUGACGGGUUAGACUGUUUUUGUUAACUUUUAUUCUUAUAAAUAUUUUUGGCCAUUGCAGUCCAAUCAGAAGAAAAGUAGAAAGCAGGUCAUUUUUACCUUCUCUAAGAAAAGAAAUCCAAAAUUUACAGGAAAGCCCAUUCUUGAAAGUCCCUUGUGCUGCUAGGCAGGGCCUUUCGAUUAUUUUCAGACAGAUGUUGAACCUUCAGAAUUUCCUCCGUGCAUCGGGGUCACUGACUACUUGUGUCUAAUGCAACUCUGCACUAACUAGAUUGUGCGCCGACCUCUAUUUUCACUUUCAAACCUCAUAUUCCAACGUUGCUCAAGGUUGACUGUCACUGACUGGGCUUUUCUUUACGACUGUACUUAUGAAGAACAAAUGUACUUGUAAAUGUUUGGGGACUUCAAAUUUAGUUUACAAAUGUGUAGUCCUCAUUGAAGAUUCGAUUUGUAUUAUAUUUAGGCAAGUUUUCUGGCUCUUAAUGGGGUCCUAAUGAGUCACCGAUGGUAAGGCUUCAGAUUCAGACCUUCCUGUUAGGAUGGGGAUGAGCUGUUUGUCCUCAUUUGCCAAUUAUUUGGAAGAGAAAACCAAUGUAAUGCAAUCGGAAUCCAGUUGUAUUAUUAAGACCCGCAUUUGAAACCUAGUUUCUUCUAUCAGAAGUAAUUUUUCUGAUUUUUGGAUUAUGUACUUCUCCUUCAUAUAAAUGAAUGUUACUGCUUUUGUGGUGUUACCAGACCUAGCUUAUAGAAAUAAAUGACAGGCCACCUGGGGGUCUGCCCGUGCAAGCAUGAACUAAGCAGCAACAAGCAGUAUGCCCUGCGGUGACCAGUGUGUCAGCAUUCACAUAAGCCCGGGACAGUGAAUGCGGGCCCUUGUCAGUCACGGGCAUCAGGCGCAUGGCACUGGGCACAGCUGACUGCCUGUUGAUGCUGAUGGCUGGAUGGCUGCAUUUAAGUACACUUUCACAAAACUCAUUUGUAUCUCUUCCCGAAGAAACCUAAAUGGAAUUAAUUUGUUGGAGGGCUGCAAUGUAAAAUUUUUAAAUAGAGAACAAAAUGGAGUAUGUUGCUGUUUCAUGGAAGAGAACACGGGAGAAACUAGCAAUCUGUAAGCUAAAAAUUGAUGGCAGCCCCUGCCACAAUGAAUAAUUGGCAAUGCCAUUCAGCCUUUAAAGGUAUCAGAUAAUGAAUAAGCUGGGCAUAAGGCAUCUAGUUCCCUUCCAUUAUUCUCCAAUAGGUUAUGUAAUAAACAUCCAUCCCUGAAAGAUAAUUCUGUUUUUCAUUGUUCUGUAAGAGAAGAUAAUUCUCUCUUUUUUUAAAUUGUCCUGGAAGACAUUCUUAAAACACCUUGUUAACAAACUGGCUAAAUGUCCACCUACAGAAUUGCACUAACUAAAACCAAAAUUAGUCAUUAGAGCUGUUAUGCAUUUGUCAGCAAAUCCCUUAUGUCCAUCUCAUGCCUGACUUUUCUUUAACAAAACUAUGUUAUACGUAGAACUUAGCAGUACAGAUGAUGCCUGCUUUGAUCAUACAAACGGGCUUUAUACAUGAAUUGUAAUUUCCACUUUAAUUUGUUUUUGCGAAAUCUUUCCUGCAGUAUCAUUCCAUCUCAGCAUUCCCCAACCACCUUUGACAUUUUAAUCAAUUAUCCUCUCAUGUCUUGUUAGGCCACAAACGUAUGGGCUCUAUUUUUUCAAAGAAAAGUAUGUUGGUCACUUACAAGAUGGAUCCAAAUGUAAAAGAUGUUUUUCACGUUCUAGCGUACAUUCCUAAUUGUUCUUAGUCAAUGUCUGCAAAUGAAUAGUAUGUGGAAAUAUCCUAAGCCCAUGCUUGCUUUGUACAAAGGAAUCCUUUCCCCUCUACUGAAUGCUAUCUGGAUGGGCAAUGACGACAGUUUUUCAGAUCUCAAACACAACAGAACGACACACCAAGUCAGACAUGAACUAAACUGCAAUUGUAACUACUGAGGGAAUUUUUAUGCAGAUUAUGUAACAAAAAUGAAACUAGACAAAGUGUGAGAAAGGCCACUAAAAUAAAACGGUCAGGCCACGCUUUAGAACUGUAGAAUCAAAGAGUCUUCACCUUUCUAGGCUGGAGACGACCUUCUCACUCACGGACCAAACCCUUGGUGUGACCUCUAUUUCCCAAGAGAUGAGCCUUCAGGCCUGAGGAUCAGUGGCCUGAUUCUUAUAAAGGAGACGGUGGACUCACAAAGGCAUCACGUCAGUAUUUUAACAAGCUCACCUCUAAGAGAUGACGUUAGAUUUUCUACUGUAGCUUCGGGGGCUUAAAUAGACACUCCUUAAUUUAGAGUUAGUAAGCUCAAUCAUUUUGAUCAGGUACAGGUUUUUAGCAACAACUGUCAUCAAAACAGGUUUUCCAGUAGCAAAUGAAUUUGAUACUGACUAAACAUUUGGUAAAAGAUGACUAUGCACAUGCCAAAGAAAAGAGUGACUUGGGAGAGCUUUUUCUAUACAAAGAAUGGUUGACUUGGGGCUCCUGCCUCCCCGAUGUUCUGAUGCAAACCAGUCCUGUGUGUGGGGACUCUAUUUGCACAGAUCACAUAGUUCCCUGUAGGAAAAGAUACUCAUAUAAACCCACACAACUCCAACAUAGCUCAACAAGUAGAAUUUUAAAAACUAAUAUUGUAAGGGGUGUUUCAAAGAGAUAUGCUCAUUUUGGGACUUUUUAACUCUCCCCUCAUGUUUCCUGCCUUGUUGAAGAGUGGACAAUUUAUUUGGUAUUGACUUAGUGUGAGGCAUGCCCUAGACCCGAGGAAUAUAAAGGGGACUGGGAGAAAGCCCGGCCUCCCUGGAGCUCUUCACGUGAUGACAGGCGCAGAUCAGCGGACAGGCGCGUAACAGGAGGUGCUAAGUGCGCAGGUGGGGUCACGUGCCGCGUCACAGCAGUGCUGGAGGAGAGUCCUGACUCAUGGCCUGGGAUGCUGGGGUUCCUCCCCAGAGAAGCUCUUUUGGACCUGGGAGAAGGAGUAGGACUUUGAUACACCAUGGAGGUCUCUGAAUGUAACCAAAUUGUUCUCCUCUUAUCAUUCCCAUUCACUGGUGUACUUGUUUGUGGAGCCUGCAGAACUGCCUUUUUCAAGAAUGGCAGCUUGGCCUCUAAAUCUGCUUCCCACUGAUGGGAAGAGCUGACAGAAGCUUUAGAGAGGCACAGGGUGAGUUCCUAAAACCAGAGUCAACACACACUCUUCAUCUGUUUUGUGCUUCACUCCCUGCUCAUCUUCCUAAAACACUGAGUUUGGUCAUAUCAUGUCCUACAAGUUGUCAAUGAUUUCCCAUGAUCUUGUCUUCAGGAUAAAGUUCCUUAGUCAAAAGCAAUGAAGACCUGACCUAAUCUGUAAGGCAAAAUCAACACUUUUUAGCCUGGCCUUCCAUGCCCUUCCAUGCCCUUCGAGCCCCCAGAGCACCCAUGGCAGUCCAUCUCUCUCUACUUGUCCAGAGGGACACUCUCUUAGAGCCAGUGGCUCCUACUCACGGUUCCCCGAACACGUCGUGGGAAUGUUUGCCUUCAUACCUUCCCAGAUCAUUUUCCUGAUCUCAGACACCCUCCGUCCUCAUUCAUUCACUCUUCAAUUGUCCAACAAAUAUUUGUUGCUCAUGCAACCUGGAUCACCCACAUAGUUUCAAGACUGCAUCUUCUAAACUAUUUAAAUCCUAUCCAUUCUUCAAGAAAUGUUUCAUGACGCUUCCUUAACUGCUAAGGACCCGCAGAUUCUCUUCCUCUUGGGACUCACACACUGACUCAUCUCCCGAUCUUUUGGUGCUCAGCAAAGUGGAGGCUUCUGUUUUGGACUUAGAGUCAAGACCAUUAAAUAAGACUAUGCUCUAAAAAGUACACCUCCGUGGCCCGGAACGAGUGAAUUAACAUCUAUGAGUUUCCAUUUCCUUGUCUAUAAAAUUGUGAAAUUGCAACUUAAGAUUAGUUCUGAAGAUUAAAUGAGGUAACAUAGGUGAAAAUGCUACAUUUAUGUAAGAAAUUACUCUUUCAUAAGGAUGUCAAUGUUUAAAUACGCAUUUUCUCAAUUUUGUUAAUGAAAUACUUUGAAAUUCUUUUUUCUAAUGAAACCUGCUGAAUGUAAAAGAGACCCGUACUAAAGAAAGAUACCACAUGAAGCACCAAGGGUCUCUUUCUGGAUCUAUCAUGACUCUUGUGACUGUUUCAGCAGCACAGAAAUUAAAGGCGAUUGUUAUUCUGGAGGAAGACAAUGAGUCUCAUCUAUAUCUUGUUUGGGUUGAUUUUGUAAACAGAACAUUCCAAAGAUCAUUCUUGCCUUUUGUUUCCACUGAGAACUAGAAUAAAGUAAAACAAACUAUCAAUUUAAGGAAAGCCUCGAAAUUGUUAGCAAUUUCUUCAGUAACUUUCAUCCAUCAACUGAUUUUAUGAACACAAAUUUGCAGAAAUGGGCAAGAAAAACUACUUAACUCAUUGGUGGGAAGCAGUGGGCUCUCUAAGGAGGGAGAGAUAGCAGUGAUUUCACCACCGGACCGUGGAACACAAAGAGCCUGGAAGAGUCUAUCACUUUCAACUGAAACCGCAAGAAGAACUAAGUAGGUUAAGCCCUAAGAAUGUUCCUAGGUAACCUACUUGAGUUGAAAUUUGACUAAGAAUCCUUACACCCUACCUAAGAGAGGUAACGCUAUUAGGAUCGGAAGUGAUUGGAAGCUUUGUUUCAGAUCUCGUCCAAAAGGGAGAACGGUCAAUGACAAAGCUGCUGUGAAUAGUAUUCUGGGGGCGUGGUGGAACCCCGAUUCACUGCUAUCUCCCGAAUCAGCAACUUGACAGAGCGCGCCUCCCGGGCCUUGGAAGCCUUCCAUUCCGAGCUGGCUGGGUGGGACUCAGGUUUUACGGUAUGCUGGACUUUUUCCCCGUGAGUUAAAACACAUUUAUAGUAACUAAGUGGUUAAUGAUGAGAAAAAACCCCAAACUACUG
ensembl:lncRNA PACRG-AS3 PACRG antisense RNA 3